rnacentral:rRNA from 1 species
GAUGAACGCUAGCGGCAGGCUUAAUACAUGCAAGUCGAGGGGCAGCAGGGGUGUAGCAAUACACUCGCUGGCGACCGGCAAACGGGUGCGGAACACGUACGCAACUUACCCAUAACUGGGGGAUAGCCCGGGGAAACCCGGAUUAAUACCUCGUAACAUCAUGAAGUGGCAUCACUUUAUGAUUAUAGCUCCGGCGGUUAUGGAUGGGCGUGCGCCUGAUUAGGUAGUUGGCAGGGUAACGGCCUGCCAAGCCUACGAUCAGUAACUGGUGUGAGAGCACGGCCAGUCACACGGGCACUGAGACACGGGCACGACUCCUACGGGAGGCAGCAGUAAGGAAUAUUGGUCAAUGGACGCAAGUCUGAACCAGCCAUGCCGCGUGAAGGAUGAAGGUCCUGUGGAUUGUAAACUUCUUUUAUAUGGGACGAAACCCGGGUAUUCCUACCCGAUUGACGGUACCAUAGGAAUAAGCACCGGCUAACUCCGUGCCAGCCGCCGCCGUAACAC